AAGAAAAGGUGAUUGGCAUGUGAGUGGGGUAUAGAUUUUGGGCACGUAAUUUGUAACAGCAAUAAUAAAAUCCUAGAAAACCUCAUAGAUUUGUUAAGCCAGCAAGAAUUCCUUGUAGCUUUGAUCCAUGAAAACUACGAUGAAACAUGAACUUUUUAGCCCUGCUGUCUGGGCCCUUUGAAUUUGUCUACAUGUUUUUUCAAUCUUAAUUUUUGUUCUUUACUUAUUCCCCUUUUUACUCCACCAAUUCCUUCUUUUUCCCCCCUCCCUGUGAAUUAAGAACAAGAAAAGGUAUAAGCACCAUUGUCACUGAGACUAUAAAAU
rnacentral:lncRNA from 1 species